GUGGUUUAAUUCGAAGCAACGCGAAGAACCUUACCAGGUCUGUACAUCCCGAUGCUAUUUCUAGAGAUAGAAAGUUACUUCGGUACAUCGGUGACAGGUGGUGCAUGGUUGUCGUCAGCUCGUGUCGUGAGAUGUUGGGUUAAGUCCCGCAACGAGCGCAACCCCUAUUGUUAGUUGCCAUCAUUCAGUUGGGCACUCUAGCGAGACUGCCGGUAAUAAACCGGAGGAAGUGGGGAUGACGUCAAAUCAUCAUGCCCCUUAUGACCUGGGCUACACACGUGCUACAAUGGUUGGUACAACGAGUUGCGAGUCGGUGACGGCGAGCUAAUCUCUUAAAGCCAAUCUCAGUUCGGAUUGUAGGCUGCAACUCGCCUACAUGAAGUCGGAAUCGCUAGUAAUCGCGGAUCAGCACGCCGCGGUGAAUACGUUCCCGGGCCUU
rnacentral:rRNA from 1 species